rnacentral:rRNA from 1 species
AUUGAACGCUGGCGGCAGGCCUAACACAUGCAAGUCGAACGAGUGGCGGACGGGUGAGUAAUGUCGGGGACAACCCCUGAGGGAGGGGGAUAACUAGUGGAAACGGUAGCAGAUACCGCAUAAUAUCGUAUGUGCCCAGAUGGGAUUAGCUUGUAGGUGGGGUAAAGGCUCACCUAGGAGACGAUCCCUAGCUGGUCUGAGAGGAUGACCAGCCACACUGGAACUGAGACACGGUCCAGACUCCUACGGGAGGCAGCAGUGGGGAAUAUUGCACAAUGGGCGCAAGCCUGAUGCAGCCAUGCCGCGUGUAUGAAGAAGGCCUUCGGGUUGUAAAGUACUUUCAGCGGGGAGGCGUUACCCGCAGAAGAAGCACCGGCUAACUCCGUGCCAGCAGCCGCGGUAAUUC